rnacentral:rRNA from 1 species
CUAAUACCGCAUAAGCCCACGACCCGGCAUCGGGUAGAGGGAAAAGGAGCAAUCCGCUUUGAGAUGGCCUCGCGUCCGAUUAGCUAGUUGGUGAGGUAACGGCCCACCAAGGCGACGAUCGGUAGCCGGACUGAGAGGUUGAACGGCCACAUUGGGACUGAGACACGGCCCAGACUCCUACGGGAGGCAGCAGUGGGGAAUAUUGCACAAUGGGGGAAACCCUGAUGCAGCGACGCCGCGUGGAGGAAGAAGGUCUUCGGAUUGUAAACUCCUGUUGUUGAGGAAGAUAACGACGGUACUCAACAAGGAAGUGACGGCUAACUACGUGCCAGCAGCCGCGGUAAAACGUAGGUCACAAGCGUUGUCCGGAAUUACUGGGUGUAAAGGGAGCGCAGGCGGGAAGACAAGUUGGAAGUGAAAUCCAUGGGCUCAACCCAUGAACUGCUUUCAAAACUGUUUUUCUUGAGUAGUGCAGAGGUAGGCGGAAUUCCCGGUGUAGCGGUGGAAUGCGUAGAUAUCGGGAGGAACACCAGUGGCGAAGGCGGCCUACUGGGCACCAACUGACGCUGAGGCUCGAAAGUGUGGGUAGCAAACAGGAUUAGAUACCCUGGUAGUCCACACUGUAAAC